rnacentral:rRNA from 1 species
AGAACGAACGCUGGCGGCAUGCCUAACACAUGCAAGUCGAACGAGACCUUCGGGUCUAGUGGCGCACGGGUGCGUAACGCGUGGGAAUCUGCCCUUGGGUACGGAAUAACAGCGAGAAAUUGCUGCUAAUACCGUAUAAUGACUUCGGUCCAAAGAUUUAUCGCCCAGGGAUGAGCCCGCGUAGGAUUAGCUUGUUGGUGAGGUAAAAGCUCACCAAGGCGACGAUCCUUAGCUGGUCUGAGAGGAUGAUCAGCCACACUGGGACUGAGACACGGCCCAGACUCCUACGGGAGGCAGCAGUGGGGAAUAUUGGACAAUGGGCGAAAGCCUGAUCCAGCAAUGCCGCGUGAGUGAUGAAGGCCUUAGGGUUGUAAAGCUCUUUUACCCGGGAUGAUAAUGACAGUACCGGGAGAAUAAGCUCCGGCUAAACCUCCGUGCCCAAGCAAGCCGC